rnacentral:rRNA from 1 species
AUUGAACGCUGGCGGCAGGCUUAACACAUGCAAGUCGAGCGGGGUGAUGGUGCUUGCACUAUCACUUAGCGGCGGACGGGUGAGUAAUGCUUAGGAAUCUGCCUAUUAGUGGGGGACAACAUCUCGAAAGGGAUGCUAAUACCGCAUACGUCCUACGGGAGAAAGCAGGGGAUCACUUGUGACCUUGCGCUAAUAGAUGAGCCUAAGUCGGAUUAGCUAGUUGGUGGGGUAAAGGCCUAAAAAGGCGACGAUCUGUAGCGGGUCUGAGAGGAUGAUCCGCCACACUGGGACUGGGACACGGCCCAGACUCCUACGGGAGGCAGCAGUGGGGAAUAUUGGACAAUGGGGGGAACCCUGAUCCAGCCAUGCCGCGUGUGCGAAGAAGGCCUUAUGGUUGUAAAGCACUUUAAGCGAGGAGGAGGCUCUUUUGGUUAAUACCCAAGAUGAGUGGACGUUACUCGCAGAAUAAGCACCGGCUAACUCUGUGCCAGCCGCCGCCGUAA